rnacentral:rRNA from 1 species
ACGUGAAAUUGUCGAAAGGGAAGCGCUUGAAGUCAGCCAUGCUGCUUGAGACUCAGCCUUGCUUUUGCUUGGUGUAUUUCUCGGUAGCAAGCCAGCAUUGGUUCGAGUCGUCGGAGAAGGGUAUGAGAAAUGUGGCAUCCUCGGAUGUGUUAUAGACUUGUACUGGAUACGACGAUUUGGAUCAAGGAACGCAGUGUGCCUCUGGC